rnacentral:rRNA from 1 species
GACGAACGCUGGCGGCGUGCUUAACACAUGCAAGUCGAACGGAAAGGCCCUGCUUUUGUGGGGUGCUCGAGUGGCGAACGGGUGAGUAACACGUGAGUAACCUGCCCUUGACUUUGGGAUAACUUCAGGAAACUGGGGCUAAUACCGGAUAGGUGCUCCUGCUGCAUGGUGGGGGUUGGAAAGUUUCGGCGGUUGGGGAUGGACUCGCGGCUUAUCAGCUUGUUGGUGGGGUAGUGGCUUACCAAGGCUUUGACGGGUAGCCGGCCCGAGAGGGUGACCGGCCACAUUGGGACUGAGAUACGGCCCAGACUCCUACGGGAGGCAGCAGUGGGGAAUAUUGCACAAUGGGCGGAAGCCUGAUGCAGCAACGCCGCGUGCGGGAUGACGGCCUUCGGGUUGUAAACCGCUUUCGCCUGUGACGAAGCGUGAGUGACGGUAAUGGGUAAAGAAGCACCGGCUAACUACGUG